UGGGGAAUAUUGGACAAUGGGCGAAAGCCUGAUCCAGCCAUGCCGCGUGUGUGAAGAAGGUCUUCGGAUUGUAAAGCACUUUAAGUUGGGAGGAAGGGCAGUAAGCGAAUACCUUGCUGUUUUGACGUUACCGACAGAAUAAGCACCGGCUAACUCUGUGCCAGCAGCCGCGGUAAUACAGAGGGUGCAAGCGUUAAUCGGAAUUACUGGGCGUAAAGCGCGCGUAGGUGGUUCGUUAAGUUGAAUGUGAAAGCCCCGGGCUCAACCUGGGAACUGCAUCGAAAACUGGCGAGCUAGAGUAGGGCAGAGGGUGGUGGAAUUGCCUGUGUAGCGGUGAAAUGCGUAGAUAUAGGAAGGAACACCAGUGGCGAAGGCGACCACCUGGGCUCAUACUGACACUGAGGUGCGAAAGCGUGGGGAGCAAACAGG
rnacentral:rRNA from 1 species